UGGAACAACCUUUAUUUUGAUAAAACAAUGCAUUUUUAAAAAAUUAAUAAUAACAAUGAAUUUUUAAUGUAAACUUUACUACAAAUCGCAAAAAAAGUUGAGUCGGCAGGGGUUAGUAGAAACAGUGACCUUUUUUAGGCCUAAUGUAUAACUAAAUAUGCUGAAAUGUAUUAAACAGGGCGAGGUCCAAUUGGCAGAACAUUGUCUGUCCUCACAGAGGCAGUAAUUGAUGUUAUUGGAAAGCAGAGUGCGGCAGUUGUUGGGGCAGCAGGAGCAGCAUAUGACUCAACAUUGGCCUCACUUAUGCUUCCUCAACAGUUUGACCUAUGUGACAGUGAAGAAAGAUCAUCAGUUUCGGAUGGUCCAAUCUUCAAUGUAAUGGAUCUUGUUCCAGUAAAACCUUCCCAAAG